AGCCAGCACAGCUUCAGUUACAAUUAUGCAGCAUAAUUCCCUGCGAUAGAAGGGUAGUGACAAUAAUAAAUUCAAAUGCAUUCAGAUAAAUAAUUUUAAAGCAAAUGCACAUUGCUGGAGGAUAUUCACCAAGCAGACAAAAAAAAAAAAAAAAAAAAAAAAAAAAAAAAAAAAAAAAAAAAAAAAAAAAAAAAAAAAAAAAGCCCAGUAGCCUAAUAUGUUAUUUCUUGGGAAUAGUUCUUUCUGCCCUCAGGCUGAUAUAUUCUUUGGGAACACUUUAAUGCAGUUCCUAUAAUUAGUGAGUACUUCACAAUCACCUUCCAGAGAAUUAUAUCUUUCUGUAACACUCUCUGCGUGUGCUUUGAAGGCAUCGAAGCAUACAAGGUUCUUGUCUCAGCAGAAGAAAGGCUGCAGGGCAGAACCGGGGCAGGGGGCUUUACAGCGUUGCCAGGAGGCACCAGCUCGGUUUCCCUGCAGCAGGCACAUCUCUCCUCUUUGAGAAACACUGCAUCCUUUGUUUGGGACUUGGAGGAGCUGCAUGAUUCAGGAACAGGAAGAGCCGGGACAGAUAGACUGGGACCCUCCAGGGUACUGAGGAAACUCCAAAGAAGUACAAUGUGUCCAGUGUUGUGUCCUGGUUUGGCUUCAAGAACUGUUAGGCUUGACUAA
rnacentral:lncRNA from 1 species